CGUAGCGCGAGAGCCGCCUCCUCUCUCUCCUCUGCAGUAGCAGCAGCAGCAGCAGCGGCGGCAGUGGCCUCGCGCCCCUCCCCUAACCCGGUCACGCGAGGCUGCCGUUGGGAGCAGUCGCAGCCUUGCUACCGUAUACCGUACUUUGGUAGCCUUCGCUGAUGCAGCGAGACUAACUCGCAGGUCCGAUCGCCUUCGAGGUUCCUGAUGCAAACCAUUUUUUGGCUCGUGUACAGGAUACACCAAACAGCCCAGGAAAGAGGCAGACAGAAACCAGGAGGUACGGGACGAAGGCUGUGGUCGGGGACAGAAGGCUGAGGUGAUAUCCGGGAAGACGACAGGAUGGAAUGGUCAGGGGCAGGCAGAGAUAACCCCGCUUUUUGGAACUCUAUGCCAAGAGCCAUUAUGAUGCCUCUUCCAUCUAUGAAGAGACCCUCACUACUUUAAGGGCCGGUAGCCUCAAGUCUGUCAGCAGACAGGUUGUGCACCAUCUGCAUCACAAAGCAACAGAUUCUUAUGCUUCUCAGCAGAACUGAAACUUAUUCAAAGGAACUAUAUCCAUUCCUUUUGACUGGUAAGCCGACCCAUAGCAGAAGCGUCCACGGCGCUGGGCUGGAAACUGGAAAUAUCCUGAGCUAAUUCUGCCACCACCAUCAUCUAUUGCGACUAGCGAUGGCUUCCACUGAUUGUUGCCGGAAGCUUGUGUCCUUUUCAGGCCGGACGAUGACAGCGAGGUCAACAUUUGUAACAAGAUGGACAAGAAAAUAAGAAGGCUGGAUCUCAGGAAACGAUCAACCCGCUGUUGCGACAGUUGUUUCAGCCAACAACGAAAUCUGCACCCACACAUAUUGCUGGAAUUAUCAAUGCUCUAUGUACAACAGUGUCAAAGUCAAGUGUUUCUCAGUACUUGAUAUCAAAGCUCCCACUCGAAUAUGCUGUUCAGGAGGACUUCAAUGUCACGGACACCAUGGAAGUGGAAACGUCUAAACAUAACUACAACAACAAUCAGUUUUAUUCGUCACAUUGCACAUAAAGUGCAAGUGAAAUGAAUUUAGCGGUACAAUGAAGCAGCGGUACAAUGACAAAGAACACACAAAAACACAAUAAAAAUUUAACACAAACAUCCACCACAGCAUUCAUCACUGUGGUGGAAGACACACAAAUUGGCCAGUCCUCCUCCAUUUUCCCCCGUGGUCGGGACCUCAACCCUCCGCAGCCGUCGCUGCGGGCGUCCAGAUGACCAUAUGCAGACAAGGUAAAAAGUCCAGGUAAGUCCUGAAACGGUGCCUCCCCCACCGGAGACUGUGGCUUCAAGUUGGUGUAGGCCACAGGCCAGCGGUCAGAGAUUUAAAGUUCCCGCCGCGCCGCAGCCAGAAGCACCGCAGACCGCAGGGCCGGCGGUCGAAGCUACCCUCCAGGGAUCCCCGGCGAGGGACCCCGCUCCUGAUGGUAAGUUCCCGCUGCGCCCGCUAUCGCUAAACUGUCUGGAGAGUGUACCUCUGUUGCUGAGUUCCUACACAAGCUGACUGCAUUCGCUCAGGAAGAAGCAACAUUGCUCCAAGAAUGAACAAUCGGCCAAAACAAUAACCAUAUGUGGCACGAACAAUGUAAAGAACUCAUCACAGGAUCAAAUAUUCAUGGAGUCUUGACAAGGAUGAGGACUUUCCAAAAGAGCGAUCAAACUGACCUCGACACAAGUGGGCUUGUAAAGCGUGUCAUGGCCACGACAAGCCGAGUGAACACUUACCUGCACUAGUGCAUGGACGGCGGCACGAAGAUAAAGCGAGAGCCAUGUUUGUGCAAGCAUUAACUGAACUAGGACAUGAAGACCCAAGUCAAAGAAUAUGGGCUGUUUGUCUGGAGAGACAAACCCUUCAUGGGCUCAAGCCCGGAUGGUAUUGUGACAUCACCUGUUGUGGCAGUGGGCCCUUAGAAAUCAAAUGUCCUGUAAG